rnacentral:lncRNA from 1 species
AAUCAACCUCCAAACUAUCCAUGAUUCUGUAAUGAGGAGUACCCAAAUUGCAUCCAUGCUUAAAUUCACAUCGUCAAAAGUCUAAUAACCGAGCUUUUGUUUAAUUUCUUCAAAUAUUUUGAACAAUUGGAUAUUAGUCCAUGCUUACUCUUCAUAUUUUACGAAAUGGAUACUUAUAAUAUAUUGUAUUUGCUAAUUUUAAAAAGAUGACGUUUUGAUGACGUCGCAUGAUGACGUUUUCGUACAUUUUGCUUUUUCAGUAAACAGUCCAUCUGUUGAUAAA